AAACAUGGCUCUGAUGACUAAACUUUUUUCCCCAGCAGAUCGACUCUGUUGACUUAUUUUAUUUUAAGCCAAACUGUCUGAGCCAUGAUC
ensembl:snoRNA Small nucleolar SNORD12/SNORD106